GAUCAUUAAAGAGUUGCAAAGCUCCCUCACACACCAUCGCGAACCCUACCUCUGAACAGUUGCUUCGGCGGGCCGGCCCUCCCCCCCCCCAGGGGGGGUGUGCCGCCAGAGGCCCGCCVAAGGUUGCCCAAACCAUUGUUUUUUACAGGCCUCUCUGAGUAACGCACCUGAAUAAGUCAAAACUUUCAACAACGGAUCUCUUGGCUCUGGCAUCGAUGAAAAACGCAGCGAAAUGCGAUAAGUAAUGUGAAUUGCAGAAUCCAGUGAAUCAUCGAAUCUUUGAACGCACAUUGCGCCCGCCAGUAUUCUGGCGGGCAUGCCUGCCCGAGCGUCAUUUCAACCAUCAAGCCCCGCGGGCUUGUGUUGGGGACCUGCGUCCGACGCAGGCCCCGAAAGCCAGUGGCGGGCUCGCUGUCCACACCGAGCGUAGUAGCUAACCUCGCUGCGGAGUGGCGCGGGCGCCCUGCCGUAAAACCCCCCCCAUCUUGCAAGGUUGACCUCGGAUCAGGUAGGAAUACCCGCUGAACUUAAGCAUAUCAAUAAGCGGAGGAAAAGAAACCAACAGGGAUUGCCUCAGUAACGGCGAGUGAAGCGGCAACAGCUCAAAUUUGAAAUCCGGCCUCGGCCCGAGUUGUAAUUUGUAGAGGAGGCUUUUGGUGCGGCACCGACCGAGUCCCCUGGAACGGGGCGCCAUAGAGGGUGAGAGCCCCGUAUGGUCGGACGCCUAUCCUCUGUAAAGCUCCUUCGACGAGUCGAGUAGUUUGGGAAUGCUGCUCAAAAUGGGAGGUAAAUUUCUUCUAAAGCUAAAUACCGGCCAGAGACCGAUAGCGCACAAGUAGAGUGAUCGAAAGAUGAAAAGCACUUUGAAAAGAGGGUUAAAUAGCACGUGAAAUUGUUGAAAGGGAAGCGCCUGCGACCAGACUUGCGCCCCGUCGAUCAUCCGGGGUUCUCCCCGGUGCGCUCGGCGGGGCUCAGGCCAGCAUCGGUUCUCGCGGGGGGACAAAGGCUCCGGGAACGUGGCUCCUCCGGGAGUGUUAUAGCCCGGGGCGCAAUGCCCCCGCGGGGACCGAGGACCGC
rnacentral:rRNA from 1 species